rnacentral:lncRNA from 1 species
AAUUGGUGUUAAAAACUUUUUAUGGCCAAUUUUAGAAUUCCGGCAUGGCGGCAACGCUAUGCUCCAGUGAUGGCACUACCGUCUAUAGUGGUGGUUUGCCUUGGCCUAGCCGUUUUUGGCUAAUUUUUACCGGUUUCAGUCGAUUUUAUACCCAUCCCUACGAGAAAACACGUUAGGGAACCUCGGUUGGCAAAAAAAGUCAAA